CGCAGCAGGCGCGAAACCUCCGCAAUGCGGGAAACCGCGACGGGGUCAGCCGGAGUGCUCGCGCAUCGCGCGGGCUGUCGGGGUGCCUAAAAAGCACCCCACAGCAAGGGCCGGGCAAGGCCGGUGGCAGCCGCCGCGGUAAUACCGGCGGCCCGAGUGGCGGCCACUUUUAUUGGGCCUAAAGCGUCCGUAGCCGGGCUGGUAAGUCCUCCGGGAAAUCUGGUCGCUUAACGAUCAGGCUUCCGGAGGAUACUGCCAGCCUAGGGACCGGGAGAGGCCGGGGGUAUUCCCGGGGUAGGGGUGAAAUCCCGUAAUCCCGGGAGGACCACCUGUGGCGAAGGCGCCCGGCUGGAACGGGUCCGACGGUGAGGGACGAAGGCCAGGGGAGCGAACCGGAUUAGAUACCCGGGUAGUCCUGGCUGUAAACGAUGCGGACUAGGUGUCACCGAAGCUACGAGCUUCGGUGGUGCCGGAGGGAAGCCGUUAAGUCCGCCGCCUGGGGAGUACGGCCGCAAGGCUGAAACUUAAAGGAAUUGGCGGGGGAGCACUACAACGGGUGGAGCCUGCGGUUUAAUUGGAUUCAACGCCGGG
rnacentral:rRNA from 1 species